rnacentral:rRNA from 1 species
UACGUAGGGACCAAGCGUUUGUUCGGAUUUACUGGGCGUAAAGGGCGCGUAGGCGGCGCGGUAAGUCACUUGUGAAAUCUCUGAGCUUAACUCAGAACGGCCAAGUGAUACUGCAGUGCUAGAGUGUGGAAGGGGCAAUCGGAAUUCUUGGUGUAGCGGUGAAAUGCGUAGAUAUCAAGAGGAACACCUGAGGUGAAGACGGGUUGCUGGGCCAACACUGACGCUGAGGCGCGAAAGCCAGGGGAGCAAACGGG